AACGGCCAUACCAUGCUGAAUAUACCGGUUCUCGUUAGAUCACCGAAGUCAAGCAUCAUUGGGCGCGGCCAGUAUUUGGGUGGGUGACCACCUGGGAACACUGCGUGCCGUU
rnacentral:rRNA from 1 species